AUGGCAUCAGAGCCUUCUCACCACCCUUCCAAAAUUUGUUCAAAAUUUUGCCCAAUUUUUUUCCCUCGCACCAUUCUCUCCACCAGCAUGCAUCCCAAGUUGAAAGCUUGCCUUGACGAGUUCAAGGCGAAGGCUCAGGCACGCUUCGAGGCCAGUGCCAGGCUGUUCACGCAGCACGACGAGCUGCUCUCCAAGCUCCUCACGGGAGCUUCGACCCCGCAGCCGGCGCGCUCUGCGGUCGUGGCCUCCAAUGGCGACCUCACUGUCAACGCCACUGUCGUGGCGGUCGUCCCCGACACCUCUUCCUUUGCCACCAAGGCCCAAGAGGUCAUCGCACCCCCCUAUGGUGCGUUCCUGGACUCCAUCGAUCUGAUGCCCAUGACCUGUUCGAUGGCUGGCUCGACCCAAGUCGCAUGUGCUACGAACGCCAACGAGGUCCACAACGUCACCACAUCCGUCCGCCUUGAGCCUUUGGUCGCCCACAUCCACCAGGAGGUCGACGCCGAGAUCGUCACCCCGGUGGCAACCACCACCGAUGUCUUCUCUGCCACUACCCAAGCCCAAGAGGCCCCCACGUCCGCCAAUGAUUCAUCCCCAGUUUCCAUUGAGAUGAUGGCCGUCACCUGCUCGACGGAGUGCUUGACCCAAGAAGUAGAGCAACUCAUGCCGGAGUCUUCUAUCAGCACCAACACCGCUACUUCCGAGGUUCUGUCCUCUGCGCCCGUCACCUCCGACAUCAUCCCAAGUGUUGCCACGGCAGCCAAUCCAGUGCCGACGAAGUGCUUGGCAGAAACCCAUGUCUACGCAAAUGACUCUGUGCAACUUCUGAUCGCCGCCAUCGACAGUGCCGACGAGACACAUGCCACUGCCACCACUGAGAGCUUUGAACAUCAACCAUGGCCACCGCCUGUAGAAGUGCAGACCAGUCACAUGGGACAACUUUUCAGGCCUAGCCCGUGGCUGUCGUUCAGACCUCUAUCAGUCACAAGCUACCCGGAAGAGACAUGUUCAAGUAUCCAUAGUCAAUCACAUAGAGGUUCCUUCUUUAGUCCUUGGUUAGUUUCGUUGAUGUUCAGAGAUGUUCACCUGGAGAAGCAUGGUAAUGGAACUGAUACAAUCAUGCCGUGCACCAGUGGAAUUCAACAUAAUGUGCCUGAACGUUUAAGUGAAAUUGCAAGGAGAUGUUCGGUUGAUGUUCAGAUAUGUUCACCGGGAGAUGGUCUAGCAAUCGCAAGGGAGUCCGAUGUUCCUAUGAAAAUCAGAAAAAUGGAUAAAGGCUCCGUGGGUUCAAGUGUGGCUGUAGAUGUAAUCUCUCUUACAAGAUGUGCAACAUGCAAAUAUCAAUUUUCAAGAGAUUCAAGCAUGACUGAUUUUCCGGCUGGAUCAGAAGUUGAAAACGAAGAUGAAUAUUAUGAAUGGAAUACAACUCCUGGAUUGGUUGGGUGUGAAGCUAGCUUAAACCUCCAGAGUAUAGACGAAUGCUCAGCAGACACUGACAGCGAAACUGAUAAAACAUCUGACAGUUGCGAGUUUCUUGGUGAUUUGAACCCCUCAUCUCUUCAGAAGUACUCCCUACUUAUGUCUGAACUAGAAUCCCAAUUUGCAUAUUCCAGAAAGGUGGACAACUUAUUCAAAAAUGGUGUUCUGCUGCUAGUUGAUAACUCUUGCUUGGUAAAUUCAGUAUGCUUUGUACCUGGUCAUCAGAAUGAUCUUGCUGUUACUAAUGUCGAUGGCAUGCUCAAGUCGACUGCUGAAGAUAACUGCAGUACACGCAUUUUAAUACAGGGAAAUGCAUUGCGUUUUCCCUGUGAGGCUAGACCUGAACAGCAUGAGGACAUAUGCAACAGAGAGACUGCCGCUGGAGUUUCUACAAAUUUGCAAGUGCAAGAGCAUGCUGCCAUAUGCAACUUUCCUACAUCCGACCAUCAGUCAAGGAUGAAAGAAAACUGCAAGAAAUGCUACCUUAUACUCCAUUGCAGAAUUUUCUGGUCUCUUCAGUGGAGCAGUAAACCAUGGUCUUCUGGACAUCUUGAAUCUUAUCUGAAUUCUUACUCAAUUAGCGUCACUCUGAAUUGCAACUAUGGGCAUUUGUAUGUGCAGCUUGAGAAGUUAUGGGCCACUGGAAUUGAGGGAGAGAUAUUUGGUCAAAACUGUACUUCCUGCUGCGUCUGGGAUCUUGGAGCCGAGCCAAGGAAUUCAAAGGAUAGUUCUGCACAGUUUCACAAAGUCCAGUCUAGGUGCAACCUCAAAUGGCCCAUUCCAGCAGCUCCAUUCACAAAUGUGCAUCAACUACUUGGACAUAUGAGUUCGCUUUGCUUUGGUUUUAUUCAAGGAGUUUCCUGUGAUUAUGGUUCUUCUACUUCUGCUUGUACUCUCUACAUUGGUUAUCAAUCCCCGGUGGCCUUCAUUCCAUCCGCAAGAACUGCUCCUUAUGUUGUGUGGUCUACAAGAUAUAUGCAGAUCGUCUUUGAAGGAUCACAUGAGGGUCUAAUUCUUCAUACAGAAUUCAGAAGCUAUAUGCGAACUAAUUCAGAGUCUCUGCACCUCAUUGGAGUUCUUGGGGAAUUGACUCAAUCUUGGAGCUUUACUGAUCAUGUCAGUACCUUGUCAAGCUAUUGGUGGUGUUUCUCUUGGGGACCAGAUUGGGAUCCAGGAGGACCGCUCUUGGAUGUUUCAUCCCCAAUUUCAACUAGUAUGCACACUCCAUCUCCAGAAGAAAGCAUGGAAUGCACGGGCUCAAAAUGGUUACCACCAAAGGGGACUGCCACUGGUAUGGAACAAGAUGAAAAUAAUAUUGGUAUCCACCUCAACCUCGUUCAAGUACACCUUGACAAUGGCUACUUCCGCGACAAAUACCACGAAAAAUCUGACAUGAUCAAGGAUCUUCAAGCACCCUGGGACCCUGGUGAGCCCUGCAUGAAAGCGGCUUGGGGUCAAGCCGAAUCUCAAGGGGUAGGGGAUGUCAGCGACCCAAUUACGGCCACAGAAGCCCAUGGGCCGGGCCUGGUUGAGUGCCACAUGAAGGGAGGCCUGACUACAAGUAUCCACGUAGGAAGCAGCGAAGAGGCAUCCGGGCUUGGAUCAGGCAAAGGCAACGGCGGCUCUCUCCUUACCCUUAUCUUCUCCUACCUGCUAUUCUUCCUCCUCCCUCCUUCCCCAAAUCCAUGUAUCUGA
rnacentral:rRNA from 1 species